rnacentral:rRNA from 1 species
GACAGAGGAGCCAAGCGUUGUCCGGAUUGACUGGGCGUAAAGCGCACGCAGGUGGUUUGGCAAGUGUGAUGUGAAAGCGACCCGCUUAACGGGCCGAGGCCAUCGCAGACUGCCUAACUCGAGCGCGAGAGAGGUCCGUGGAAUUGCCGGUGUAGUGGUGAAAUGCGCAGAUAUCAGGAGGAACACCGGUGGCGAAGGCGGAAUCUCUGGGCCUUUACC